rnacentral:rRNA from 1 species
CAGUAGCCGCGGUAAUACGUAGGGUGCGAGCGUUAAUCGGAAUUACUGGGCGUAAAGCGUGCGCAGGCGGUUCGUUAAGACAGAUGUGAAAUCCCCGGGCUUAACCUGGGAACUGCAUUUGUGACUGGCGAGCUAGAGUAUGGCAGAGGGGGGUAGAAUUCCACGUGUAGCAGUGAAAUGCGUAGAGAUGUGGAGGAAUACCGAUGGCGAAGGCAGCCCCCUGGGCCAAUACUGACGUUCAUGCACGAAAGCGUGGGGAGCGAACAGGAUUAGAGACCCCCGUAGUCCCUGUCUCUUAUAC